GUUGAUCCCUAGAAUCAUGUAAAUUAUCUGAAUUCAUGAUAACCAAAUAGUGUUGCGCUUUGGUCUUUCAAAUCAACACACACUCACUCGUUUAGAGAACACUUUAGUCAUUCGUUUUGUCUCCUUGUCAUAAUAUGGGAUGUCAACAAAGAACGACUACUAAUGUGUGAUAUGGAGAUCACGACCUUCUUAUUUAUAGAAGUCUUUGAUAAUGAUGAAGCAUGUCCUCCCCUACAAGCAAGUUUGGGAUAUUAAGGACUUUUCAAAGUUGGAUUCAGAAUGUUGUGACUCUAAACCAUUCAAUGCUAGAAACUACAAGUGAUUUCUGCAGAAUCGUGGCAUGAUGGCAAGGCAACGUGGCACGAUGGAGGUUUCAGUUUUUUAGGCAAGGCACUGGAAAAAUUGUGGCACGAUGGGGUCGCAUCGUGGCACGAUGGUGCGCUGGCAGCGAAUAACAGAAACAUAUUUU